rnacentral:lncRNA from 1 species
CCCACACACUUCAGACUUCACAACCCGACCCUCUCUCUCUCUCUUCACACUGAAAUUUUCUUCACCACCACCUCCUAGAUUCCUCCAUCACCACCAAGCCGCGCCGCACCGCACCUUACCUUACUGCGAUUCCACCUUCCAACUCCUAGAUCCUCAUCAUGCUUGAUGCUUUGGGUGUUUUUAUUCUCAUCUCUAUGCAAUUGUGGAUUGUCAAAUCAAGGGUUUGUGAUUCGAAGUAGAUGACGAAUCUUCGUCUUGAAGAUCUACAUGAAGUUGAUCUACAUGAAUCUGUCACCAUUAAUGACGGGUAAGGGAAUGACUUCAAGAUGGCAUCCUUACCUCUUGCAUUUGCCGUAAAGUUACAAUGUUUUAGCCAUGUUUGGUAAAUUUGAGAAACUUUCCUUGCAUAUUGAUAUUUUGAUGCAUUUCUUGUUAUGUUUCAAUGGAAUUGUUGGCAAUUGGCAUUGACUUCGUUCUCCCAAGGAGAUAAAAAAGGCAUGGCUUUGUUCUAGUAAGGAGAUAACUUUUUUUGAAGGUUGUAAGGAAAGACUAUUUCUUAGACAACUUUUGUGUUUGAAAGAUGAGUAGCAAUAACUUAAAUUUAUAACUAUAAAGACAAAAGGCAUGGUAAGCCAUUCGUUCCUUAUGCAAUUUGAACAGAAAAGUGAAGGAAGAAAGCACCACAGCCUCAUAUUUAUCUGUGAGCAAUGCCAAUAAGUGAGCCACACAUGUUUUUAAAGCUCCAUUGAUGAAUUCUCAUAUUAACGUCCUUUCCGAGAUUUCUUCAUGGUCGCGGUAACACGACUCGUCGUCAAAGGUGAAUUCCUUUUUCAACGAGCAUGUUGCAAAGGUCUGUAAUUAAUAUUCUUCCAAACAAUAUUUAGAGGUUUUCUUGCUGGCCAAAUGGUUGUGUAAUCUAUUAGCAUUUCUAUUUCAUUCAAGUUUUUUGGCUAUAUUUUAAUUUUAGAGCCCUGAUAUAUGGAAAAGAAUUACAUUUAGAUUGUGAUUACUUGUAAACUCAUGUAUAUUUAUUGAUGUAACUUCAAUUGAGUUAUAUUAUUCAAAUGAUAUGUUGUACUAAAUGGGUGUAUGAGAUUUGGGAUAUUUUAGAUUCAAUGACAGGUCUGAUAUGAAAUUUGCUCAUAUGUUAUUUCAUAUUAGUUGCUAAGUUU